rnacentral:rRNA from 1 species
GAUGAACGCUAGCUACAGGCUUAACACAUGCAAGUCGAGGGGAAACGAUAUUGGAAGCUUGCUUCUGAUAGGCGUCGACCGGCGCACGGGUGAGUAACGCGUAUCCAACCUGCCCAUCACUUGGGGAUAACCUUGCGAAAGUAAGACUAAUACCCAAUGACGUCUCUAGAAGACAUCUGAAAGAGAUUAAAGAUUUAUCGGUGAUGGAUGGGGAUGCGUCUGAUUAGCUUGUUGGCGGGGUAAACGGCCCACCAAGGCGACGAUCAGUAGGGGUUCUGAGAGGAAGGUCCCCCACAUUGGAACUGAGACACGGUCCAAACUCCUACGGGAGGCAGCAGUGAGGAAUAUUGGUCCAAUGGACGAGAGUCUGAACCAGCCAAGUAGCGUGCAGGAUGACGGCCCUAUGGGGUUNUAAAACUGCCUUUUAUAAGGGAAUAAAAGUGGGAGUCGUGACUCUUUUUGCAUGUACCUUAUGAAUAAGGACCGGCUAAUUCCGUGCCAGCAG